UGUGCUAAACAUUCUGCUGGAAGGAAGACUCAUUGUCCGCUGCUGAUGUUGUCUCCCAUGAGGGGGAGCUCCAUGAGCUGUAACCCUCCUGGAUACGUCCACCUCCUCGCUUACCUUCCCUGGGAAGAGUGAUUUAUCUCAUUGCUGGAAAGGCAAAGAAAAGAAGGUGAAGGAAGGCCCAGUGGAUAAUGGAACUCCGAGAGAAUCCUGGCUCGGAAAGGCAAUCAAUGAGUUGUCUCCAGUUCGUACCCUUCAAGUCACCCUUCAACCCACGGCAGUUGACACCUGCAGUGCUCCAACAGGACAUCAUCUCUUAUGGAUGUUACAGGAUGUUACAGGUCAUAAAAUAGGUUAUCAACUGAGUAACAGAC